rnacentral:rRNA from 1 species
UACGAACCGUACAAACGUUAUUCGGAAUCACUGGGCUUAAAGGGUGCGUAGGCGGCCAUGUAAGUGGGGUGUGAAAUCCCCCGGCUCAACCGGGGAAGGGGCGCCGAUACGACCGGCCUGGAGGGGCGUAGGGGGACCGGGAACUUCCGGUGGAGCGGUGAAAUGCGUUGAGAUCGGAAGGAACGCCCGUGGCGAAAGCGCGGUCCUGGACGCCUGCUGACGCUGAGACGCGAAAGCCAGGGGAGCGAACGGG